rnacentral:rRNA from 1 species
UACGUAGGGUGCAAGCGUUGUCCGGAAUUAUUGGGCGUAAAGAGCUCGUAGGCGGCCAGAUAAGUCCGCUGUGAAAUCUCGAGGCUCAACUUCGAGCUGUCGGUGGAAACUGUCUGGCUAGAGUCCGGAAGAGGAGAAUGGAAUUCCUGGUGUAGCGGUGAAAUGCGCAGAUAUCAGGAAGAACACCCGUGGCGAAGGCGGUUCUCUGGGACGGUACUGACGCUGAGACGCGAAAGCGUGGGGAGCGAACAGG